rnacentral:rRNA from 1 species
UCGAGCGGUAGAGAGAAGCUUGCUUCUCUUGAGAGCGGCGGACGGGUGAGUAAUACCUAGGAAUCUGCCUGAUAGUGGGGGAUAACGUUCGGAAACGGACGCUAAUACCGCAUACGUCCUACGGGAGAAAGCAGGGGACCUUCGGGCCUUGCGCUAUCAGAUGAGCCUAGGUCGGAUUAGCUAGUUGGUGAGGUAAUGGCUCACCAAGGCUACGAUCCGUAACUGGUCUGAGAGGAUGAUCAGUCACACUGGAACUGAGACACGGUCCAGACUCCUACGGGAGGCAGCAGUGGGGAAUAUUGGACAAUGGGCGAAAGCCUGAUCCAGCCAUGCCGCGUGUGUGAAGAAGGUCUUCGGAUUGUAAAGCACUUUAAGUUGGGAGGAAGGGCAUUAACCUAAUACGUUAGUGUCUUGACGUUACCGACAGAAUAAGCACCGGCUAACUCUGUGCCAGCAGCCGCGGUAAUACAGAGGGUGCAAGCGUUAAUCGGAAUUACUGGGCGUAAAGCGCGCGUAGGUGGUUUGUUAAGUUGAAUGUGAAAUCCCCGGGCUCAACCUGGGAACUGCAUCCAAAACUGGCAAGCUAGAGUAUGGUAGAGGGUAGUGGAAUUUCCUGUGUAGCGGUGAAAUGCGUAGAUAUAGGAAGGAACACCAGUGGCGAAGGCGACUACCUGGACUGAUACUGACACUGA